UAGGAUUUAGGCUAAAUAAACCAGUUGCCUUCAAAGCAAUAAUUACUUGUCGCAAUCAAGUAAUCCUAU
rnacentral:tRNA from 1 species